rnacentral:rRNA from 1 species
UACGUAGGGGGCGAGCGUUGUCCGGAAUGACUGGGCGUAAAGGGCGUGUAGGCGGCGGAUUAAGUCUGGAGUGAAAGUCCUGCUUUCAAGGUGGGAAUUGCUUUGGAGACUUGUCUGCUUGAGUGCGGAAGAGGUAAGUGGAAUUCCCAGUGUAGCGGUGAAAUGCGUAGAGAUUGGGAGGAACACCAGUGGCGAAGGCGACUUACUGGGCCGUAACUGACGCUGAGGCGCGAAAGUGUGGGGAGCAAAC